rnacentral:SRP_RNA from 1 species
GCCAGGCAAGUUGGCACACACUUUUAAUCCCUGCUGCUAGGGAAGCUGAGGCUGGUGGAUCCCCUGAGCGCAGGCUAUAGUGGGCUGAACCAAUUAAGCAUCUAAACUAAGCAACCCCAGUGUGGUGAGCUGCCUGGGAAGGAGCUGCCAGGCUGCCUAAGGAGGGGCAAAUCAGUCCAGGUUGGAAACAGAGCAGAUCAAAGCUCCCAUGCCAAUCAGUAGUGGGAUUGGGCCCUUGAGUGGCCAAGGCAUAUCCAGCCUGGACAAGGUGGUAAGGCAGGGAGACCCAGUCUCC